rnacentral:tRNA from 1 species
CAGAGAAUAGUUUAAAGUAUAAAAUGCUGGUUUUGGGGACCAGAGAUGGGUAUCCUUCUUUGA